UACGAAGGGGGCUAGCGUUGCUCGGAAUCACUGGGCGUAAAGCGCACGUAGGCGGAUCUUUAAGUCAGGGGUGAAAUCCCAAGGCUCAACCUUGGAACUGCCUUUGAUACUGGGGGAUCUCGAGUCCGGAAGAGGUGAGUGGAACUGCGAGUGUAGAGGUGAAAUUCGUAGAUAUUCGCAAGAACACCAGUGGCGAAGGCGGCUCACUGGUCCGGUACUGACGCUGAGGUGCGAAAGCGUGGGGAGCAAACAGGG
rnacentral:rRNA from 1 species